AGUGAACGCUGGCGGUAGGCCUAACACAUGCAAGUCGAACGGCAGCACAGUAAGAGCUUGCUCUUACGGGUGGCGGGUGGCGUACGGGUGAGGUAUACAUCGGAAUCUACUUUUUCGUGGGUGAUAACGUAGGGCAACUUACGCUAAUACCGCAUACGACCUACGGGUGGAAGCAGGAGAUCUUCGGACCUUGCGCGAUUGAAUGAGCCGAUGUCGGAUUAGCUAGGUGGCGGGGUAACGGCCCACCAAGGCGACGAUCCGUAGCUGGUCUGAGCGGAUGAUCAGCCACACUGGAACUGAGCCACGGCCCAGACUCCUACGGGAGGCAGCAGUGGGGAAUAUUGGAAAAUGGGCGGAAGCCUGCUCCAGCCAUACCGGGUGGGUGAAGAAGGCCUUCGGGUUGUAAAGCCCUUUUGUUGGGAAAGAAAAGCAGCAGGUUAAUACCCCGCUGUUCUGACGGUACCCAAAGAAUAAGCACCGGCUAACUUCGUG
rnacentral:rRNA from 1 species